rnacentral:lncRNA from 1 species
ACGCGAGCAGGUGCACUUCCUGCUCGGGUGAGAGGUUCCUGGUGAGCGUGAUGGCUGGGCAGUGCUGCUCGGGCGAGCAGCUCGUUGUCUGAUGCAUUUCGUUGAGACAAUCACAGAUCAUAAGGAAAAUGCUGGCACUUAAGACAUAAGAGCGUGGUGGCUGUGCAGCGUGUCAUUUCAGGUGUAUGCAGUUUGUGGUUUGCCCGUGGCCUUCGGAAGGGAGGAGGGGAGCAGCACAGCAACGUUGCUGUCAGCCAGCAGCUCUGGAGGACUCGUUCAUCACGUUCCUCGGACCAAAGAAGCCUGCAUAUACAGACAGCAUGACUGGAAUUCCUUUUAUCUACGUCAUACAUAAGAAAGUAAAACAACUGCUGGGGCAUCUGCAUGAUAUUUGGAUGUGGUAGAACUGGCCUUUUAUCCCACUCAUUCCACCAUGGCCCGCCUGGACUUACUUUCCUUUUCCCAAGGCAGCACCCUUCACCUGAGAUCAAUGAGCCUCUGUUUAUCACUCUAUUCUUCAUCUUUCAAAGGCUGGUCCUUCUCUGAAGGUCAGUAGCUAAACUACUUCAUUCAGCUCCAAGAGGAGAGGAAGGUCUUCAAUAUUCAGUAGUGGUUAAACACUCCCCUUUUAAUUGCAGUCCCAUAAAUAGGAGACAAUGCACCACUGCACUCCAGAUGAUUUCCUUCUUUAUGCAAACAUUAUGGGACAACAGAAUUCACAGGAAAAUAAUGGUUUGCAUAUUUGUUGGGGGGGAGGUAUUGUGACACAAAGGGUGGUAAGAAGCCUCAGAGGAUUGUUUGCCUUCUGAAACUAAUAUAUCCAACAGUCUUCCAUCUUUAAAACACCCCAUCUGUCCUUACCAAUUUUUGUAGCAUCAUGCUGAUGACCGUAAUCCAUCAAAUGGAAAUGUUUUCAAUAUUGAAUAGUGAGUGACAGUGAGGGUGUUUCUUGUACAUGAUAGAGCAGAAGCAGACUAACCUCUGGAAGUGCGGUUACAUAUAGCUGGGAAGGCACAGCUUUCCAUGUUGGGCACCAGAGAGAUGAAAAACAGUAGUUCUGGCAUUUUACAUUCCAUUUUUGUUCCCUAAAGAAAAGCUUCAAGCUUCCAGUGAAGCUUGGCUAUUCAAAAUCUCAGUAGCUAACAGUGGCUUGUGCCACUUAUUUAUGCAUUACUAAAUUCCCAUAAUUUCCCUGUGUUUCCUAAACAAUUUACAUGCUGCUGAAGUGCUGUUGGCUUCGCAGGAAAAAUACCUAAUACCACCUCAGAAAGUUAACAGAAAAGCUGCUUUUAAUUACAACUUACCUUCCUGACUCUGAUGAGGUAUUCACAGCUUGGGAAGGGUGGGAAGGCACCAUGUGAAGGUUAGCAAAACAUUACGUGUCCCAUUUCAUGAGCUUCAAAUAAGUAUACAGGCUUUAGGUUAUUUCAACAGCUUGUGUGUGCAGGAACUGGAUCACAUGAAAUGAAGUUGUUUCAAUGUAUGUAGAUUUAAUGUACUUUUCUGACUCAGUGUAAACAAGCCCUUAGGUCACAGAUCUAGAGUGUGGUGUACACCUCUGUUUCACUUAACAAUCACACUGAAGGCAACAAGCUUAUUCAUGUGAAAAAUAAUGCUCCUGUAUUUGAAAAAGUAGAUCCUUAUAUUUUAAAUCUCCCUGGAAGCAUCAUGCCUGUUAAAUUACCUAACUUUCUGGGAUAUUAUUAAUGUUCUGCAAAGUUACGUGUGACUAAAGGAGGGUAGGUUUAGAUUAGAUAUAAGGAAGAAAUUCUUCACUCAGAGGGUGGUGAGGCCCUGGCACAGGCUGCCCAGAGAAGUUGUGGAUGCCCCAUCCCUGGAGGUGCUCAAGGCCAGGCUGGAUGGGGCUUUGGGCAACCUGGUCUGGUGGAGGUGUUCCUGCCCACGGCAGAGGGGGUGGAAAUGGGUGGUCUUUAAGGUUCCUUCCAACCUGAGCCAUUCUGUGAUUCUGUUGUUUAUAUACCUUUCAUGCCCAUAUGCUUUUAUUGACAAUUACUUGCCUUGAAACUAAAGAAUAGUUAACCUUUUACUACAGGGGUUUUACAUUAGAAGAACAAAUGCUUAUCACUUAAAUAUUUGUGCAUAUAUAUGCUAUAUUGGCAUACAUGAUUUAUAUACACACAUAUCUCAUCUAGCAUUUUUCAGAUUUAGGCUAUAGCACAUUGAUGAUACAUAUAUAUAUGUAGAAAUCUACUUGUUAAUAAUUGUAUUAAAACAUAAAUACACAGCCAAACUGCAGGCAAAUUAGCUAUAUAGUAAAUAUAGAUGUGUCAUGGAAAAGAACACAACCAUAUUCUGGAAAUUUCCUGCUUUUUUUUUUGUUUUUGUUUUUGUUUUUUUUUUUUGUUUGUUUGUUUUUUUCCAGAGUUAGCAGAAGAAAAUGUCUCUGCAGGCCUAAAAUGCUGAACAGCCUGACAAGAACACUGUAAUUCGACAUGUGAAUACCUCAAAAAGUAGUUUAUGAAUCUCCAUAUCUCAGAGGAAUCCCCCCCCAAAGGUCUCUUGGUUUUACAGUGGACUAAUUCAAGAUGGUUUCUGCUAGAAGUAAAGAAAGAACUGAAAAAGCACACAAUAUUUUUUUUCCUAUAACAGAAUGCUGAUACACCUAAAUCAGUGAUGGAUGUGGUUGCUACUCAAAAAUAAUUGUGCAAAUCAUUAGGGUGGGGCAACCAAAUGUUGAAAAUAUUUUAAAAUGUCUCCCUCAUACCAAUAUGCCAUUUUGUUCAUGAACUACUAAUGGGAGGGUGUUUGAGACAGCUGUGCCACCAAACUUUCUCUGUAUCUAAAAUACAUACGUUUUUAUCACCUCACUUUCUCCACAGAUUUCUGCUGCAAAUUCAAUAUUUACUACUCUUCCUGUGCUAGCAUAUGAACGUCAUCUUUCUAGAUAACAUGGCUGACAAAAAAAUGACAGUACAAAUUACCCUGUAUAGGAAACCACAAAUCAACACGCUCUUCACAAAAUCAGCCACCAUGCAAAACACAGUAGAAAAAAGUCUUUAAAAAAUGCUCUGCGAGGCACAGGCUAUGCUUUUGAAUUAGACAACAGAAUACCAUCUAUGAACAUAACAAUGCAAAAAGGAAACCCUAACUGACAGCAUGUUCCUGCCUAUUACAUAUGUUUUGAUGCUGGUAUGUGUAUAGAAAAUUGUUAAAUAAUUACAGCACCUACUAACAUACGUCCUUGAAGAAUUCUUCCUGGAGCCCUUUUCCACCUCCCUUUUCAAACAAUGCUUCCAGUGUUAAACUCCUAAUCCAAAGCAAAUUUCCCCUCUACUAACAAGCACCCAUCAGAACCAAAUCUUGCCAGCACAGCAAAUGCAAAACUCAUGAAUACCAACAUAUUUAACAUAAUUGAUGCCAGUGCCCCAAAGAAUUUCCACUGGUCUUGUUUAUCCACUUUUUAAAACGUGCUAUAUUACAUCAAGCACAUCAAACACCCUCAUGAGAAUUAUGUGUAUGAAAGUAAUCAACCAAUAUUUGUUACAAUGAACUCACAGAGAUAACUGAUUAAAGACAAAACAUAGCAAAUGAUAGGAAAAUAUUUUUUAAAUAAAAGAAAAAAAUUCCAUUCCUUGCACAGUCCAAUCCUCAAAGGGGACCUGCAAAUCAUUUUCAAAAAGUGAUCCUGGGAACUAAAUUCUUAACAACGGAUAAACAAAUUGUGGACUCAGUAGUGACAUUGUCUCUAAAGCUUACCGUUUUCUUGCUGAUUCAUCCCUGUACAUUCAUGUUAGCAACUGUUCUCUCUCCCAUGGUUUAAUUGAUUAAAAUGUUUUAUUAUACUAUGAACAAUCACAUCUAACUUGUAUUUUGUUUGGAUUUUGCUACUUGUCAGAUCUGAUUAAUGGAUGUCAGUCAAGUUCACAAGCUUGUUUGUUUUCUCCAGUUCUAUCAGUUCUUCUAAUUAAAGAUUAUUACCUCAUCUACGAAAUUUGCCUCACUUGUACCACAGCAAAACAGCGACA